rnacentral:rRNA from 1 species
CCCGCUGAACUUAAGCAUAUCAAUAAGCGGAGGAAAAGAAACUAACAAGGAUUCCCCUAGUAACUGCGAGUGAAGCGGGAAAAGCUCAAAUUUAAAAUCUGGCAGUUUCACUGUCCGAGUUGUAAUCUGGAGAAGCAUUUUCCGCGUCAGACCGUGUACAAGUCUCUUGGAACAGAGCGUCAUAGAGGGUGAGAAUCCCGUCCAUGACACGGACUACUGAUGCUUUGUGAUAUGCUCUCGAAGAGUCGAGUUGUUUGGGAAUGCAGCUCAAAAUCGGGUGGUAAAUUCCAUCUAAAGCUAAAUAUUGGCGAGAGACCGAUAGCGAACAAGUACCGUGAGGGAAAGAUGAAAAGCACUUUGGAAAGAGAGUUAAACAGUACGUGAAAUUGUUGAAAGGGAAACGCUUGAAGUCAGUCGCGUUGUCUGAGACUCAGCCUUGCUUGCAUGGUGUACUUCUCAGUUAACGGGUCAACAUCAAUUUCAGUUGGUGGAUAAAGGCAUUGGGAAUGUGGCACCUUCGGGUGUGUUAUAGCCCUUUGUUGCAUACACUGACCGGGAUUGAGGAACGCAGCACGCCACUAAGGCCAGGGGUUCGCCCCAUGUAACGUGCUUAGGAUGUUGGCAUAAUGGCUUUAAGCGACCCGUCUUGAAACACGG